rnacentral:misc_RNA from 1 species
AAUUCUAAUGUUAGUUCCUCUUACCGUUGCACAAAUGUGGAAAAUUACCACUGAAAGAUACAGGAAACGCAACGAUCACCGCGAAUGAUCAUCAUUCGCACUCGGGUGCAGCACUAGGUCGUUCAGAAGGGCACUGGAUUCCAGUGUCCAAGAUUAACAUUUGUCCAACGGUAAGAGGAACUAACAUUAGAAUUAUAGGAGUCAAACUGCAUAUUGUUAGGAGGAUAGCCUGCCAAACUAUAGUGUCUGGGCGGUGGAUACAUGUAAGGAGCACCUUGAGUCGCAACAAAACCUGGUGGAUGCUGCUGGGGAGGUUGCAUUGAAUGAACUACAGGUGUGCCACGAAUGGAUGCUUUUGGAGGAUCCUCUGAUGAAACAUGUAUUCUAGGACGCUUUUUUCCACUCUGCUGUUGCAGUUCAGUGUUAGGGGCAGUGACAGAAGUUGGUGCAGAGGAAAGGGAGACCUGCUGAUCUAAUUUAGAUUUAGACGAGGAACAAGGUGUGAUUUUGGCUUUUGAUUUUUCAAUGAUAAGAACUUUCUCUUCUUUCUGUUUUUCCAGUUGGACAAUUUGUUCUUUGAGGAUUGCAGGUGAGAUGCCAUCAAUCUUGUAAUCCGUGAUGCAUUUGACCACAGCUGUCAAUGCUUUUACCUCUUUGACAAUGGCUUGAAUCUGCCCUCCAUUAGAUUUUCUCUUUUUCCUGGAUAGUUGCUUAACAUUCUUUUUGGAAGAAUUGCUCAAAUAGUCCUUUAAAAUGGGUACCGGUGGGAACUUGUCGACCAUAUCUAAUGCAUAGAUAUAUUUAACAGCCUCUAUUGGCUGGUCCUUCUUAAUGAGAUUUUGAAUAAAAUUUGGGAUCUUAUCUGCUAAACCAAGUACUUGAACCAAAUCAGCAGCCUCUUUACGCCACUCAUCAGCAUCCAGAAGAACAAGAAGUUUGUCUGCAUCGAAAGU